GCUGUUUCUGCAUUAGUAAGGGUUUCAAAUCUAUUUUGCAAGAAUUCAGAAUUGUCAAAUCUCAAUCUAAAUUUAAAAAAAAAAAACAACAAACCAGUAGAUCAUAUUGUUACUUUUGUUUGUUAUUAUGGUUUGAGUUUUUGUUCAGUGAUUUUUGCAAGCUCAGGAAAUCUUUUCUUAGUGAUAAAUGACUGUAAAUGGAAGUGUUGGCCCUGUCUGAAACAAUCAGAUAUUUAAUGUUCUUUGUUGACAGUACAUAGAAGGAGCACUUUUUCCCCCAUAAUAUUUCUAAAGUAACCAACCCAUUUAUACUAUAACCAGUUUAUAGCUUUAUAGUAGUGACCUCAUAACAAAUAGCAUUU